rnacentral:rRNA from 1 species
UACGUAGGGGGCAAGCGUUGUCCGGAAUUACUGGGCGUAAAGGGCUCGUAGGCGGCCAACUAAGUCAGACGUGAAAUCCCUCGGCUUAACCGGGGAACUGCAUCUGAUACUGGAUGGCUUGAGUUCGGGAGAGGGAUGCGGAAUUCCAGGUGUAGCGGUGAAAUGCGUAGAUAUCUGGAGGAACACCGGUGGCGAAGGCGGCAUCCUGGACCAUUACUGACACUGAAAAGCGAAAGCCAGGGGAGCAAACGGG